rnacentral:rRNA from 1 species
AUUGAACGCUGGCGGAAUGCUUUACACAUGCAAGUCGAACGGUAGAGGGGGCAACCCCUCGAGAGUGGCGAACGGGUGAGUAAUAUAUCGGAACGUGCCCAGUCGUGGGGGAUAACGUAGCGAAAGUUACGCUAAUACCGCAUACGAUCUAAGGAUGAAAGCGGGGGAUCGCAAGACCUCGCGCGAUUGGAGCGGCCGAUAUCAGAUUAGGUAGUUGGUGGGGUAAAGGCUCACCAAGCCAACGAUCUGUAGCUGGUCUGAGAGGACGACCAGCCACACUAGAACGGAGACACGGUCCAGACUCCUACGGGAGGCAGCAGUGGGGAAUUUUGGACAAUGGACGCAAGUCUGAUCCAGCCAUUCCGCGUGCAGGAUGAAGGCCCUCGGGUUGUAAACUGCUUUUGUACGGAACGAAAAGGUCUCUCUUAAUACGGGGGGCUCAUGACGGUACCGUAAGAAUAAGCACCGGCUAACUACAUGCCAGCCGCCGCCGUAA